rnacentral:rRNA from 1 species
CCUACGGGUGGCAGCAGUGAGGAAUAUUGGUCAAUGGGCGUAAGCCUGAACCAGCCAAGUCGCGUGAGGGAUGAAGGUUCUAUGGAUCGUAAACCUCUUUUAUAAGGGAAUAAAGUGUGGGACGUGUCCUAUUUUGUAUGUACCUUAUGAAUAAGGAUCGGCUAACUCCGUGCCAGCAGCCGCGGGAAUACGGAGGAUCCGAGCGUUAUCCGGAUUUAUUGGGUUUAAAGGGUGCGUAGGCGGCAUUUUAAGUCAGCGGUGAAAGUCUGUGGCUCAACCAGAGAAUUGCCGUUGAAACUGGGGGGCUUGAGUAUGUUUGGGGCAGGCGGAAUGCGUGGUGUAGCGGUGAAAUGCUUAGAUAUCACGAAGAACCCCGAUUGCGAAGGCAGCCUGCCAGGCCAUGACUGACGCUGAUGCACGAAAGCGUGGGGAUCAAACAGGAUUAGAUACCCCUGUAGUC